GAAAAUGGUCUAACAUUUAUGGUGGAUGAAAUCUUGACUAACAUUAUAAGUGGACCCGAAGUCUAAUAGACGUCUAAAAGAGAGACAGAUGUAGAAAAUGAAACUGGGAACCCAUCAGGGGAACAGGAACAGGCACGAGCAGGUGAUUCAUGAUUUCUUCCUGGUUUCUGUGGUUUGGAGGCUGGAGGUGAUGAUAAUCUUACCGGCUGCGGCUGCUCGGCGAUACAGCAGUUGAAGCACAACCAGAAUUCACUCAUGACUCGCAGAAAGUCUGUCCUAAAGUGCCGCUUUGCCCGUGGGCCCUGAGGGGCUCUGGCGGCUCUGGACGGGGCACAAAUCUCGUGUUUCCAAGGUCCGAUCUGAGAUGAUGGAGGAGUUCUUCAGCCUGAGGAUCCAGGGAACGGAGAGCAGGAAGACAGCGAUGGCAGAGAUCCAGACGGGAAGCCUGUGUAUGGCUCAGUCCACUUAGCAAACACUCAGACCUGCGGGACACAACAAGAUGCUGUCAGAUCAUUUACACAUGCGGACGUCUUUUAAUGUUUGGAUGCAACAUUUGGAAGUGUUUGGAAGAUCUGUCAUCAUUCGUUUGGCCGAAAGUGUAGCCACACUAUAAACCUGAUUAAAACCUGACAUUAAACCUUCUGGAAAAUCAAGGAAAGAUUGUCCCGUGAGACAGCAAGGUGGUGGACACGUGCUGGUGCAUCCUGUGCUGAGGACACGUAGUGCUCAAACGUCUAUGGAAAUGAAGCUUGGAACAGAGCUGGUCUCUGUGCAGUGUCUUCCGCUGCUAAAAUUAUCAGUGCAUUUUAAUACGCUUUGAUUCCUUUAUUAAUGUGACAGUGUCUAGCAGCUCCGCACUAUCUAUUCAUCCUGGAUUCAUCAAAUAAAGAUCUGAAAGUUGACAGGAUGUGAGAUAAUUUCAGACUGAACUAUAUCCACCACAUGCUGUGACUGAACUUAAUCUGAGAAAUGUUAGAAAUGUGGCACAACAUUAGUCCUGAGUGCAACAUGAUUUUGGUCUCCGAAGAAAAUGAUUCAAUUUAAAAAAAUGAACAUGUGCGACUCAAGUUAAUUUAGUCAACUUUUUGGUGUAGAUUACCUCGAAUCAAACAGACACGGGCUAAAACAAACACAAAUUCUGCAGGAAAAACACAGCGUGAGCUCAACCCAUCUCCAAUUCCUCCUGUUGGAAUAAAAGGAGUUUUUUGAAUGACAGGAUGGGAUGCACACAGAAAACACUCCAUUAGCGGUGAGCGCAUUGAAAGAGACUGUCAGAGCAAGAAAGGCCUCUGUGUGAGGGGUCAGAGGAAGACCCUGUUCCCAGGGUAUAUGCCACACAAUGACAGAAAUCACCCACGGGAGAGAUUUUGCCAUACCAUACUGCAGUAAAUAUAACCGGCGAUUAUAUAGGACUGCAGUAUUCUUUUACACCAGGUGUGAAGGCAGCUCAUUCAAUCAGAACUAUCUAUUAUAAUUGCAAUCUUUUGUUCAGAACUCAAGUGUUACGUGAUAUAACACAAAGCUGUUUUGCACAGAUGUUAGUCUGGUUAUCCAUCUUUUGCUGUGCAGCCAUCAAGUUUAAAAUAAAAG
ensembl:lncRNA